rnacentral:rRNA from 1 species
AGUGAACGCUGGCGGUAGGCCUAACACAUGCAAGUCGAACGGCAGCACAGGAGAGCUUGCUCUCUAGGUGGCGAGUGGCGGACGUGUGAGGAAUACAUCGGAAUCUGCCCAGUCGUGGGGGAUAACGUAGGGAAACUUACGCUAAUACCGCAUACGACCUUCGGGUGAAAGAGGGGGAUCGCAAGACCUCUCGCGAUUGGAUGAGCCGAUGUCGGAUUAGCUAGUUAGCGGGGUAAUGGCCCACCAAGGCGACGAUCCGUAGCUGGUCUGAGAGGAUGAUCAGCCACACUGGAACUGAGACACGGUCCAGACUCCUACGGGAGGCAGCAGUGGGGAAUAUUGGACAAUGGGCGCAAGCCUGAUCCAGCCAUACCGCGUGGGUGAAGAAGGCCUUCGGGUCGUAAAGCCCUUUUGUUGGGAAAGAAAUCUUUCAGGCUAAUACCCUGGGAGGAUGACGGUACCCAAAGAAUAAGCACCGGCUAACUUCGUG